UUAUAAAUGUCACAAGCUUUGCAAAAUCAUUUAUAAAUCCACUGAAUGUACAUCUUAUAAAACUAACCUUGGGGAUACAUCUAUUGAAUCAUCAAAACAAAACAGACAUCAAACUGAAAACACCAGAGAACCUUGCCAAUCUAUAAACUGCGUAAACUGUUUAAAUUUGUGUUCUAACACUAGUCCAAAUCAAGGAAUCCACAUAGGAAAGAAAAAACACAAUGGCACAACACUUGAUAAGGUUUUCCACUCUAAACAAAAACUCAUGCUGAAACAAACCAAUAGUGGAAAGAAACCUUACAAAUGUAGUGAAUGUGACAAAUGUUUUACCAAGAAAUGUGAUCUUGGUAUUCAUCAGAGAAUUCAUAAACCGGAGAAACCUUACAAAUGUAGUGAAUGUCUUAAAUCUUUUACCCAGAAAUGCAAUCUUAGAAGACAUCAGAGAAUUCAUACAGGAGAGAAACCUUACAAAUGUAGUGAAUGUGACAAAUGUUUUACCAACAAAUGCAGUCUUAUUAUUCAUCAGAGAAUUCAUACAGGAGAGAA
rnacentral:lncRNA from 1 species